UUCCCUGUAGCACAAUGGAUAGCGCUUUGGAUUUCCAAUCCAAUGGUUGUGAGUUCUAACUCCACCUGGGAUG